rnacentral:rRNA from 1 species
AUCAGCGGUUAAACAAAAUAUAUUAAUUAAUUAUAUUAAUUUAGUAUAAAAAUAUUUUAAUUAUUAAUAUUAAUACUUAUAAUUUUUAGAUUAAAUAAAAAUUAUUAAAAUUAUUAUUAAAUAAAAUUAAUUUAAUUUAAAUAAAUAUUUUAAUAAACUAGGAUUAGAUACCCUAUUAUUAAUAUAAAAUUAUAUUAAUUAAGUAUUAGAUUUAAAUAUUAAAAUUUAAAAAUUAUGACGGUAUUAUAAUCUAAUUAGAGGAACUUGUAACAUAAUUGAUAAACCACGAUAAGAUAAAUUUAAUAUAUUUAAUAUUUUUGUAUGUUCGUUAUAAAAAAAUUUAUUAAUAAUUUAAAUUUUUAAAUUUUAUUAAAAUAAUUUAUUUCAGAUCAAUAUGAAAUUAUAUAUUAAAAGUUUUAUGAGUUACUUUUUAUUAAAAUAGAUAUUUUUUAAUAUUUAAAUAUUUAAAUUAAAUGGAUUUAAUAGUAAUAAAUAUAAAUAAUUGUUUAUGAAUUUAGUUUUAUAAUAUGUACAUAUUGCCCGUCACUUCUAGAAAUAGGAUAAGUCGUAACAAAGUAAAUAUACUGGAAAGUGUAUUUAG